rnacentral:lncRNA from 1 species
AAAAGUUUACAGAUGCCAAUUUGCAAACGAAUACAUAAUACCACGUGACUUGUGCCACGGUAGGGUUAUUGGAGAGAAUCACGGAAGUGGUGAUGGACCUGAGUCAGGGACGUGGGUGCCUGAAACCCAGUGCCGCCAAUCUCGGAUUAGAGUUUGGGCAGUGAGAUUGGAUAUUUGCAGUUCCACACAACAGAAAUCUGUCUUUUAAGUAAGGUGAGAAAAAUUAAGUUUCCUAAUGUUUAAGUUCGGUAGGAGUAACCUUUACUUUUGAAAAUCUGUUACCUCUUUAUUUUUGUGCAUUAAGCACCACAGAGAGCCAAAUAAGAUUAGAGACAAUUAUAUAAGAGACGGCCUUUGUCUCUAUUCCAUCUUUUCACAUGACACUCUUUCCACUUUUACCU